rnacentral:rRNA from 1 species
ACGCUCGACACCUACGGGGGCAGCAGUGGGGAAUAUUGCACAAUGGGGGAAACCCUGAUGCAGCGACGCCGCGUGAGUGAAGAAGUAUUUCGGUAUGUAAAGCUCUAUCAGCAGGGAAGAAGAUGACGGUACCUGAGUAAGAAGCCCCGGCUAACUACGUGCCAGCAGCCGACGGUAAUCUGAGGCGGCUGGACAAGGC